rnacentral:tRNA from 1 species
UCCCUUGUGGCUCAGCUGGUAAAGAAUCUGCCUGCAAUGUAGGAGACCUGGGUUCGAUCCCUAGGUUGGGAA